AUUCUUGCAAGGAAAUCCACGGUGAGAAGAGAGAAGAGUGAUAGAAUCCUAACUCCAUAUUCUACUUCGAACUUCAAAUCCUCGUAACUUUCAAUCCGGAGCUCCGUUUGACGAGCCGUUUAUGGCCACGCGUUCGUUUUGGAGUUCUCUUCAAUUCUAUCCAAACAAAGAGGUGCAAUCUAAGAUUGGAUAAUUGUUGGAUUAUACUCCAAUCAUCAAUGGAUACGAGUUGAAAUUGUCAAAUUAGAGCUUGAUUGAAUACAUUGGAGGCUUGGUGGAGUUUGGGUGCCAUUACUUUGGGGAUUUUUGAUUCUUGGAGCUGUGUUUGGGUGCCUCUAUGGUGGUGUUUCGGAUAAUACGUGGAAAUCGGCCAAUGUAUGGUUUAGGUUUCGCGUAUUUAAUAUAUAAUAUUUUGUGAAAAUUUAGGCUAGGUGAUCAUAUGAUAGGUUGGAAUGUAUGAGUAUAUUUAAUGC